GAUCCUGGCUCAGGAUGAACGCUGGCGGCGUGCCUAACACAUGCAAGUCGAGCGGGAAAUCCGUGACGGAUCCUUCGGGUGACGGAUCGGAUGGAGAGCGGCGGACGGGUGAGUAACGCGUAGGUAACCUGCCCUGUACAGAGGGAUAGCCACUGGAAACGGUGAUUAAUACCUCAUAAUGCCGGAUCUGCACAUGCAGGACCGGUCAAAGUUUUUCGGACAGGAUGGACCUGCGU
rnacentral:rRNA from 1 species